AUGAGAUAUAAAGAGCAGGACUCGCCAACAGGACACAGACACGGCAAGCCAUCAUGUUGAAGGCACUCGUAGCUGCUGCCCUCGUGGCUCUUGUAUCAGCCGAUGGCAUUCCAGAUUUCGUAGCUCCUGGAAACUGUGCCAAAGUGGCAAAUCAAGACAACUUCGACCUUCGUAGAUAUGCUGGUCGCUGGUAUCAGGUAAAGAUCAUCGACAACGCCUACCAGCCAUACACUCGCUGCAUCCACUCCAACUACGACUACUCUGACAACGGCUUUAAAGUGACCACAGCUGGAUUCAGCCCCAACAAUGAGUACCUCAGACUGCAGGGCAAGAUAUACCCCACAAAGGACUUCCCAACUGCCCACAUGCUUAUUGACUUCCCUACUGUUUUCGCCGCUCCCUAUGAAGUGAUCGAGACUGACUACGACAGUUAUGCCUGCGUGUAUUCUUGCAUUGACACAGAUAAGUACAAGUCCGAGUUCGGCUUCGUCUUCUCCCGUACUCCACAGAACUCCCGUUCAGCGAUUGACAGAUGCGCCUCUGUAUUCCGCAGGAACGGUGUCGACUUCUCCCUUUUCAACGUAGUUCCUCAUACAGCCGAAUGUGUUUACAGGGCAUAGGCAUACACCAAAUAUCUACAUGAUAAUAAAAAAAAAAUAACUGUGA